rnacentral:rRNA from 1 species
AAUUGGUCAAUGGACGAGAGUCUGAACCAGCCAAGUAGCGUGAAGGAUGAAGGUCCUACGGAUUGUAAACUUCUUUUAUAAGGGAAUAAAACCUCCCACGUGUGGGAGCUUGUAUGUACCUUAUGAAUAAGCAUCGGCUAACUCCGUGCCAGCAGCCGCGGUAAUACGGAGGAUGCGAGCGUUAUCCGGAUUUAUUGGGUUUAAAGGGAGCGCAGACGGGUCGUUAAGUCAGCUGUGAAAGUUUGGGGCUCAACCUUAAAAUUGCAGUUGAUACUGGCGUCCUUGAGUGCGGUUGAGGUGUGCGGAAUUCGUGGUGUAGCGGUGAAAUGCUUAGAUAUCACGAAGGACUCCGAUUGCGAAGGCAGCACACUAAGCCGUAACUGACGUUCAUGCUCGAAAGUGUGGGUAUCAAACAGGA